rnacentral:rRNA from 1 species
AACGAACGCUGGCGGCAUGCCUAACACAUGCAAGUCGAACGAGACCUUCGGGUCUAGUGGCGAACGGGUGCGUAACGCGUGGGAACCUGCCCUUAGGUUCGGAAUAACUCCCCGAAAGGGGUGCUAAUACCGGAUAAUGUCUUCGGACCAAAGAUUUAUCGCCUUUGGAUGGGCCCGCGUUGGAUUAGCUAGUUGGUAGGGUAAACGCCUACCAAGGCGACGAUCCAUAGCUGGUCUGAGAGGAUGAUCAGCCACACUGGGACUGAGACACGGCCCAGACUCCUACGGGAGGCAGCAGUGGGGAAUAUUGGACAAUGGGCGAAAGCCUGAUCCAGCAAUGCCGCGUGAGUGAUGAAGGCCUUAGGGUUGUAAAGCUCUUUUACCCGGGAUGAUAAUGACAGUACCGGGAGAAUAAGCUCCGGCUAACUCCGUG